rnacentral:rRNA from 1 species
GACAGAGGGUGCAAACGUUGUUCGGAAUUACUGGGCGUAAAGCGCGUGUAGGCGGCAUGGCAAGUCGGGUGUGAAAGCCCUGGGCUCAACCUAGGAAGUGCACUCGAAACUGCCACGCUUGAGUCUUGGAGAGGAAGGCGGAAUUCUCGGUGUAGAGGUGAAAUUCGUAGAUAUCGGGAGGAACACCGGUGGCGAAGGCGGCCUUCUGGACAAUGACUGACGCUGAGACGCGAAAGCGUGGGGAGCAAAC